rnacentral:misc_RNA from 1 species
GCAAAUUAUAGGCAACCAAUCAUAACUCAAAAGAUCAAAGAUUGUUACAAAGGAUCACUACACUCAAAAGUAAAAUGUCCUUUCUCCUAUCUAAUUACAUUCAAUAGCAAAUUUCAAUCAGAAUAUCUUUAGAAGAUCAAAACCAUGUAAUUAAUUAAUUAAUUACACCAUAUUGAAAUAAGUCCAUCCUAGUACAAGCUCACAUUGCAAGGUCACUUUGCAACAGAAGCAAGCCAACAGCCACAGCAGGUUUUACGAGAGGAUUUGAACUUCCUGUUAGCCAAAAAAUGCUUGAAGCAGCAGCAAUGUCAAAAUAAACGAAACAAAAUUCACUGAGAUUCUUUCACGCUAGAGCCUAUUAUAACAAUAAAAGAGUUUGAGUUGCACACAGUUGGCCAUUUACAGUUCAAUCAUUACAGGCCUAUCUAAAAUCAUUGGCCAUUUACAGGCCUCCGAGGUCUCUAGCUUCGUAAUAUUACACAAAAAUCAAUUAAAAUCAAUAAUUCUGUUAAGACUCAACCAGGUUAAACUAUAACCCUAGCCCUAUCUAAAAUCAUUGUACUGUAUACUACCAGCAAUGAUAAUCACCCACUCAAAGUUAAUCCGCUUGAGAUAAAUGCAUUGCCUGUAUCACUCAUGCGGCUACAAAUGCAAAGGAACAAACUGCAAAACAGUAAUGAAUACCAGUCAGUAACUAGUCAGCUUAACUCCAUGCCGUAACUAGGUCAAUUAAUCCAAAUUGACUUGAAGUAACAAGCAUGAGCCCACAAUUCUUGUGCCAGAUUGCCAUAUCAAUCCAACUGCUAAGUGCCAUGCCCAUAUAUCAACAUGAGGUUAGGCUUAGUAAAGUAACGUUGCCAUUCCAUUGUAUUUUUCCUCCUUAAAGAUGGAGAACAAUGUGACUACUACAAAUAGCCAGAUCAGGAAUGGCUAAGCACAGGCAGCUUGUUGCGUUCAGGAAGAGCAGUAUAUGGUAAGCUCAUAAAUGCUAGUUCAGUAAUGAUCCUUCUUGCUUUUCUUUAGUAGCAUUGACAUGUGAUUGACGUAUUCAUGUCCUGUCUGGGUCCCACCCAUCAGCCACUGCAGCGCCUCAACUGCUGCAUCUUUCUCUGCACUCUUCUUAUUAUUGCAAGGUUGCCCCAUAAUUUGCAUUCCAUUAAACUCCACAGUAGCUCGAAAUUGGUUGUUCUUCAACUGCUUUGUCUUGUAAGUUGGUGCAGCAUAUCCAGCCCUGGUUAGCAAUGUUUGGAGCUGAGACUUAGAAUUAUCACCUCCAGGACCACUUUCAGUCCUUGACACUAAGGCUGGCUGUGUUGACAUAACAGAGAUCUUCGAGGGCUUCAGUACUUGAUGGCCAAAUACAAAUUUGCCAUCACAUUUAUCUUCUGAAAGCAGUAAACGUAUGGCACAUAGGAGCUCAUGAUACACGUGUAUAUCCAUCCUGGGAUUCAAAAGUUUGGUCUGAAUCAGUUCAUCAAGUUCUCUCCUCAAGGUUUGAUACAUUUCGGCUAUAGCAGGUUUCAUGAAGAAUUCCAAGUAUCCUCCCAGCAUCUUCAGAUGUCCAUCAAUGUCCCCCUUGGACAUGCUUCCACCAAAUAGAAGCAACACUGAAUCAGAAACAGCUGUUGAAUCCCGAAGGAAAACAGCAUUAACCUUUAUCUUCUCAUUGAAAACCAGCCAUGGAUAAGGAAUUUUAGAUUCCCGAGCAUUGACCGAGUUAGAGUACAGAAGCACUUGUCCAUCCUCCAUGGUUUUCAGAGAAAAUGAUUUUUCAUUAUGCACAACAGAGGAAAGUCCUGGAUAGAGGCCAUAGCAAAUAACUGAUCGAAUGAGAUGCUCUUCAUGGCUCCAUGCAUUGCAGAUGGUAGUGUUGCUAUCAACCAGACCAGCAUCCUUGAGCAAGGUGAAGAACUCUUUCCUAAGAGAAUCAAUUGCUUUCAUAGAUUGCACAGAUAGAAAAUUUUUCCAACAAUAGUCAUACCCUGCAAAAUCUCUCUCAGCAUCUUUCCAGCCCUCAUAGGCCCGGACAAGGGCAAGGUGGUCACUAUAAUCAUUAGAAAAUUGAGAUUUAGCAGCCUCUGCAAGCUGCACAGUAGGAAAUAGAUACAUAAAUUGAUCUUUAGAUUCCAAGCAUACAAACAAGAAGUAAAGGAAUGAGUGCCACAUUACACAUGCACCAGUGAUGCUUCACUGAGAGGGGAAAAAAAAGGCCUAUUCUAGUACUGAAUUGAUAGAAGCUACAGAAAUAACUGAAACGUGUGAUUACAGAACCAGGUUGUACUGCUUAAACAUAAAACUUCAGAAAAAGACAACAGUUAUUUCAAACAACCCAUUUCAACUGGUGGUGCCUUGGCCAGGUUGCUCCAAUACCAGCAGUAAUGCCAUAUCGGAAAGAGUGUUGUUUUAAUAGAUGAAGAUAAAGUAAAUAACAGGAAACCCAAAAGAGGAAGAAAAAGAAUGUUCUAACUUCUAUGUAUGUGAACAUUUGAACUAAUAACAAGCUAGAUUCAUAUGAAUACUUAAUGUAUAGAGAGUGCUCCAGAAGUUGAACUCCAGGAAAUAGCCCUAGAAGCACUCUCCCUCUUGCAAGGAAUGCAAAGUAAAAAUAUUGGACAGACUUCCCUUUCAACCCCUCAACUUCCAUAAUUUUACUAGUGGGGAGGGAAUAAAGUUAUUGAGUUCAAACUUCUGAAUGGAUAUAAGAACAAGUUCACAAAAUCAUCCUUCAAACUCACAGCUUCUUCCAAGGGAAAAAGGUAAAACAAAACCUUACUUUGAGAUGAGCAUAUUACAAUAAACAACAUAUCUAAAAAUUCAGAAGAGCAAACAUGGCUCAACUCAACUAACCUUUAAUCUCAAUCUGAUUGGGAUUGGCUAUAAAGAUCAUUUUUCUCCAUUCUACUUAGUUUUAGGUAUUAUCCAUAUCACAUGGAUGUGAGAGUUUCAUGCCAGUCCUAUGUCCAGGCUUGGGACCAACUAUGUAUGAACCAAUAGUAAUUAUAAUGAUAAUCACUCAGGUGGAGUUGGACAUAAAUGAAAUUAAUUAAGGAAUUAAUUACUGCUUGCUAGGGAAGGGGGAAUGAAUGAGCCAACUGCAUAAAUCGUAACUUUAUAGGAUACAAUUUCUGAACAAGUAUCUAUCUUCAAGAAUUUUUUAGGAAACUGGCAUAUAUGAACCAAAUGAGGCCAUGAAAUACAACGAAAAAAACUACAUUAAAAUUCACCUAGCGAACACAGAUGGGGUGGCUAAAUGCAAAAUGGGGCGUGGAUUGUGGAUUUACGCAUAAAAUUGGCAUUGGAUCUUCUAUGACAGGAUUAUUGGAAAUUAGCAUGGCUUACACUUCCUUGGAGAAUAGGAAUUAGGAAAAUGAUUUUGUAGACAGAUUCUUUUAGAGCUUUAAACCUCAAGAAGGAAGAUGUGGACCCAGAUAAUCCAAAUAUUGACAUUUACAAGCUCAAGAACGUUAUAAGGAAUCAGUGGAAUGUAUGUAUGGAAGAACUGUAUAUGCAGUUGUUAGCAAGUUUUGCCUAAGGUCUAAACACAAGAAUUCAAUAUUUUAACUCCCCACCAGGGUUAGUGGCAGAUAUCAACCUUAGCACCAGUCAGGGGUGUCUUCACCCAGAUUGGUUCAGUGCUAUCACUUGUCAGAGCUCUUAGACCUUCUAACAAACAAAUAGAUAAACAAAAUUACAAACUUCAUCAGAUUAAGUUGACUCUUCUGCUGCUAUCCUUGCUGAAGCAUACAGAGGAUGCAAGCUUCAUCAAGCAACAAAAGAUUGGGAACUGACUUACUUCCUUCUUAUCCAUUGGUGUUAAGAAAGGAUCUCUAACACUAAGGCCAGCAACAACAGUUAAUAUUGGAUCCAGGCAAUUGAAGAUAGCACCUAAUACGAGCAUCUUUCCAAGUUUAGGCUCCAUGGGAAGCAUAGUCAAAUAUCGUCCCAGAACAGUCAAAUUUUCGUUCUCAUCCAAGGCCCCAAUGAUUUUCAAGUAUUCAAUAGCAUUUUGAACCGCCAACAACUCAGGUGACUGCAAGGCCCUUGAGAGAAACUCAGAAAUACUUCUGAGUUUCAAACUUUUGAUUUGCAGACAGAGAGACUGCAAAGGAGUCCUCAAAAUUUCUGGUAACUGAUACUCUGCAAAGGCUUCAUAGACACAUCUAGGAUAAAGAUGGUAACAUUCUCCUGGUUGAACGCGGCCAGCUCUUCCUCUUCUAGCAUUAUAAAAAUUCCACCAUGAACUGAAAGUGAUCUCAUUAAUCCCCAUGGGAGAAAUAUGUGUUGAAUAGGGACAUUAAAUCUCCAUGAGGGGGGGAGGGGAGGAGAGAGAGAGAAGUUAUUCCUCUCUCAUGCUUCUUGCACUUCCUUGAGUUACUAACCUAAAAAUCCAAACUUCUAGCUGGAUUUUCAAUGGCCUCUUUUUUCUUUUCAAUUAUAUCGUCAAACAAUCAACUUGUUUUAAUUUUGGACAGACGGGGAUCCCAAAGUCGGGGGGUGAGCAAAUAGUCCUUACUAGCACUGGUCCUUGCUGAAUCAACACCAGAACCUGUAGACACUGCUGGGAUGCAACCAAACUUGUUGAGCAGACACCUUAGAAAUCCAGGAAGGAAGCAGACAAGGAGUAUUAUUCAGGGCAUCAUAUGAAGUCUCCUUUGCCUUUCCACAGUCAAGUACGAAAACAACAUCAUUAAUUGUGAUGCUCGUCUCAGUAAUAUUAGUAGCUAGCACUAUUUUCCUCACACCAUCUUUGGGCUCAUCAAAUAUUAAUCUCUGCUCUGAGCUAGCCAUAGAACCAUGGCAAGCGAGCAACAACACUUGACUUGGAUCUCCUAAAAUAGGAUGUGAUAGGAGCUUAUCCUUCAGAGAACUUAUGUCAUCCCACCCAGUCAUAAAAACUAGAACAGCACCAGGCCUCUCAUUCUCACAUAUAUUACAUAAAAGAUACUCAAUGAGAUUAAACCCAAUGCAAUCGGGAUUCCAACAAGACAAAGACUCUCGAGUUUGGGAACCAUACUCCUUGAAAUCAGCAGCUCUUAGUGCUUCCUCAACAGCAGAAGCAAUUUGGCUCUUCCUCUUUCUUGGAGCUUGUUUACUUGUCCUCCACACCCUUUCUUGGCCAUAAUCAUCAAUUUGGUUGUAUAAGGUUAAUUUGUAACCGGUCAUUUCCAGGAUAUUUUCCAGAAAAUGAGUUCGCACUGGGUAUGUAAAACCUGGAAUGCGAAGUAUUCGAGCUCCACCAAAGUAGGAUGAGAAAAGCUCUGCAUCAAGGGUUGCACUCAUCAGAAUCAGCCUCAGUUCUGGCCGACGGGGAAGGAGAUCUUUAAUGACAAUAAGCAGAAAGUCCUCAUUCAUUCCACGUUCGUGAAUCUCAUCCACAAUAACAUGAGUUAUGCCCUUCAAAUUUCUAUCAACAAGCAAUCUCCUCAACAAGAUGCCUGUGGUGCAAAACAGAAGGUGGGUAUCUCUUCCUUUUAUACCUUCAAGCCGAACUUUAUAUCCAACACAUUCACCCAAUUUCUCCCCCCUUUCUGAAGCAACUCUUUCAGAAACAGACAUAGCAGAUAUUCGUCUUGGCUGUGUACAUAUAAUACUACAACCAGCUCCUUGGACAGAUUCUAUCUCUGAUUCUAAUAUGAACUGGGGAAUUUGUGUGGUCUUGCCACAGCCAGUUUCACCUGAGAUAAUGACCACCUGAUUUUGUGAAAUGGCAGUCAAUAUUGCAUCUUUCUCUUUAUAGGCAGGAAGACUUUUCCGAAAUUCCAGCAUUUUUCUGCCUUCUGGAGAAUCCUGCCAAGCAUGCUGCUGAUCCCGCAGUUGCAAACUUCUCUGCCAUAGAAUUUUCUCCAUUGCAGCCUUGCUGGAAGCCGGUAGCUUUGGUUGCUCAAAAAGCCCUUCGUCAGUAGCUAGAAUACUGCUGCUGCUUGAUCUAGAAAAGGAAAUAUCUGGAAAUCUUUCCUUAGUCUUGGACUUCUGAAAGAGGUAUUCUCCAAGAUAGUAAUCAACUCUUCUUUGCAAACCAAAAGGUAAGCUCACCUGCCAAUUUUUUAAAUAUUCAAUAAAAUGCCAAUGAAUAAUAUACAAGAAAGUUACUCAAGUUGGACAUGUGGGAAAUAAGCAUACGCUUACCAACCCAGGGGGACAAAGAAUUUUUAAGUACAUGCUAAAAAAUGAACAAAAGAAACCUGUAAUAAAACAGCCUUUGAAAACACGCAUGUGUUUAAUAAUGGAAUUCAAAUAAUAAAUCUAAAUGAAAUUUAAGAGCUUGGAAUUUGUUGAAGCAUAAAAUAAUAUUGUCAAGUAAAGAGGUGGAACAGCUUAGCCAACAAAAAAGAGGUGGAAUAGUAGGAGAAGGCAGUCUCUGCAGGGAAAACAAAAACAUAAAUAAAUGUGUCUGAGAUAGAUAUACCAAGCUCGUGAAGUUAAUGGAAGGCAUUACUUUGGUGUAUGACCAAAUUUUUAUCUGCCAGAAGCAAAAAUUUUAAACAAUGGAACUAGGAGAAAAUACCUCCCUCUGCGGACGCUUAUCAUCCAAAUCAAAUCUGUAGUUUGGCAGUGGGACCUUACUAAUUACAACAACUUUUACAUAUAGAUGGCUGCAAAAAUAAUUUCAGUUGAGAUCAUCAGAGGAAACCAAAAGAUUAGAGCAUCUAUUCUGAUGAAUCACAAGAUACCUAUACAAACCCAUUCUGCUUGCCAUAGUUGCUAUUUGCUCAAAAUCACGUCUGUCCUUUUUUUCCCUUGAGACCAACUCUUGCUUCUCCUUGUCUCGCAAAAGCAAGGUUAGCUUCUGCCUCCACUCUUCAAUGUUAUUAGAAAGGGAAGCCCCAGCCGGGACCAUCGAGCAUUCCACCUCACGAUCGGAUCCUUCGUCAGAGAUCCCAUCGUCGUAGGCAGAAAUGAACCUAUGAUUAUUAUUAUCAUUAUUAUUCUUAUUAUUAUUAAAAUGAUUACUAUCAACAGCACUGUUCCUCCGCUGCUGCACUUGCUGCUGGUGGAAAUAAGGUACAGGAGAGCUGUGUAUAGGGCUUAAAGCGGAGCUUCGAUUUUUAGAGACUUUAGAGUCAAUCGGAGAAGCAGCGGCAACGGAGGAGGAGCUAUAACUCGGCGGGGUGAUGACGGAGCGCAGACGUUGGUGUGGAGGAACAUAAACAGCACCGUACGAGGAACGUGGCCGGUCCUUCAUUGCUAUAGUAGUGGAAGAGGUGGGGCAGUGGAAGAGUGAGGGUUGAAGGGUUCUGGGAUGUGAAGUGAAAGGAAUUUGCAGAGAAGGCGAAUUUAGAAGAAGAGAAUGAGAAGGGGGAGGAGGGAGCAUGCGAGAUGAAACGACGGUGUCGUUUUCUCGUAUUUUGGUAGAAAUUCGGUCGCCAAUCGCUGUAGUUACUGGCGCUGUUGAGUUUUGGGCAACUGAGGACUCAGAAACGGUGGUCUUUAUCUUUGCUCCUG